ACCACCAGAUCUCAGCUCAGGCUUUGACACGCCCCCUCAAACUUCCACAGGGCUUUAAAACCUGCGGCUUUCCCUGGGUGCCUGCACCCUGUGCGGGGCCUCUCCUCACUACGAGAGCGGUGAACGACUUUCAGCUUCUGUCUGUAGUGACCCUGGCCUCUCUGCAGAGACGCUCAGGCACCCCUGCGAAUUAAGUCGCAGCCAACGCCUGACUGAAAGCAAGGCAAUAUUCAUUAUGUUUUCCGAGAGAGCCAGAACGACUUCCUUUAUGCAAGACCUCCUCCUGUGCUGUCUAAGGCACCUUGUGUGGACUUAUCUCGAGGGUAAGAUGAUGCUCUUUCUUCCAAAUGAAUCACCCUACCAAGACGUGUUAAAGGAGUUUAUUGAACUGGUUUGUCUGCGUGCAAUGAAACCUAGUUUGAACUGUUUGACAGGAAAGAUUGCUGGUGCUACGAGAAACUGGUUUCUCGUUUCCGUUGCACCCAAGAUGUCGUGUUGCUCUAAGAAAGAACGUGAUGAAGCAAUACGGACAAAUCCGGUUUAAACGGCAUUUGGAACGACUUGGCAACGAUUUGCUGAGGGAUACUUGACGUCCUUGUCGCGUCUCAAGGAAGACGAUCAGCUGAACUAUGAACGAGAAUUGAAAGGAUUUGAAAACGGCAUGACUUCUACACCUGUUUUGUGUGCCGGUCUACUUGUUUGAGAGCGGAGUAGCCUCACCCACCACACUUCUUGGCCAGCAGUGUGAGGUUUCAGGACGACAUCCGCCUUCAAGGAGAUGCAGUGGAAGCCUGUUUCAUGUGCUAAGGACACAGACAUCUCACACCUUCUGGUCCCUUCCUGGGGUUCUGAGGCAACACAGUGCUCAUGUACACAUCUUCCUUCCACAUUAGAGUCAACAGACAGUCCCGUCAGCGCCCUCAGAGAUGCCUGCACUCAAGGAGCUUCGGGAAUUGUGUCUCCCGCCAUCUGGAGUCUCUGCACGGCUUCUGAUGGCCACAACGCGCCCAAGGAUUCGGGUGCAAUGACACUACCCCUAGCAAGCUUUCUCAGCCCUCUCGAGACACAAGUACCCCCAUAUUUGAUUCUCACACACACGUAGCUCUUAGUCCCACGGUCCCGGUCCCCGGCUUCUCAUAGACUGCCUCCAGAGCUCCAAACACACUCGGCUUAUUGAAAAAGGGAUAUGCCAGCAGGUGGCUUGGCUCCCCCCACCCCCCCCCCACUCUCCACUUCCUGGAGCGCUUUUUUUGUCUGCCAACCACCAGAUCUCAGCUCAGGCUUUGACACGCCCCCUUCAGACUUCCACAGGGCUUUAAAAUCUGCGGCUUUCCCUGGGUGCCUGCACCCUGCGCGGGGCCUCUCCUCACUACGAGAGCGGUGAACGACUUUCAGCUUCUGUCUGUAGUGACCCUGGCCUCUCUGCAGAGACGCUCAGGCACCCCUGCGAAUUAAGUCGCAGCCACCGCCUGACCGAAAGCAAGGCGAUAUUCAUUAUGUUUUGCGAGAGAGCCAGAACGACUUCCUUAUGGAAGACCUCCUCCUGUGUUGUCUAAGGCACCUUGUGUGGACUUAUCUCGAGGGUAAGAUGAUGCUCUUUCUGCGAAAUGAAUCACCCUACCAAGACGUGUUAAAGGAGUUUAUUGAUCUGGUUUGUCUGUGUGCACUGAAACCUAGUUUGAACUGUUUGACAGGAAAGAUUGCUGGUGCUACGAGAAACUGGUUUCUCGUUUCCGUUGCACCCAAGAUGUCGUGUUGCUUUAAGAAAGAACGUGAUGAAGCAAUACGGACAAAUCCGGUUUAAACGGCAUUUGGAACGACUUGGCAACGAUUUGGUGAGGGAUACUUGACGUCCUUGUCGCGUCUCAAGGAAGACGAUCAGCUGAACUAUGAACGAGAA